AUGAUACUACCAACAAUCUCUGGGGUUUUCAGGGUUUAUAUGGUGAAGUCGGAUCACAGCUGCGAUCGCCUAGCAGGGCCAAAAAUGAUGAAGCAGACUUCAGAAGGGAUACCCCGUGCACAGCCGAAGAGUGAGCUUGUUUCUGAAGAACUAAUGCGAAACAGAAACUACGGAGCAGACGCGAGUCUGCUCGAUUAUAGAUCGGAACUUUCUCGGCAGCAACCAGUCGUGUUUCUAAAACAUGUCGAUGUCAACUUAUUCGGCAAUUCGCCAAUCCACACGGAUCGUCUGCAAAGGCCAAUAGUACCUUUGGAAAAGCCUAAUGUCAAAGUUUUGAAGAACUCAGCAGGAUCUACUCUGUUCGAACCCAAAUACGUUACUUCCUCAUUACUGUCGGACAUAAAGGUAGAAGAAUCAGAGGACGAUGACAUACUGCCAACAGAUCACCCUCACGAAGAUGCUAUCCUCCAUCUAGUUAAGCCGGAGAAAGAAAUCGAAUAUGCACAUGGGAUUGCAGCUAAUGAGGAGCUGGAACUAAAACCGGAUAUCAAAGUGAUCGACGAUUUGGUUUCCACAGAGAUCAAAGGAGAUCUAGACAAUGUCCAUCAAGAAAUGUCGACACAAAGUUCUAAAGUACUGAAAAAUCCAGUUGUUUUGCUUGAACGACUCGAACUAGAAUUAGUGCGCAGUCAUUUAAGAGCAUUAGAACCUGCUGCCAGAUUGAGUCGUGUUGCCACCUCAUCUCAGCUGAAACUAGAGGUAGGGAUUAAUUUAAACCUUAAAGAUUCGAACAAGGCCCUUAAUCGAGCAUUUCGCCGUCGUGUGUUGUUCAAAGUGCAAACAACCUGCAGCUGCUGAACCGAAGCACCAAAAAAUCGAGGAAGUUGUUAAAUUACGUUAACUAGCUGGUAUAAUAAUUAUAGGUGUGGCGCCAUUCUCAAAAAAAGCCUGGCACUUAAAAGCCUAUAUAAUUAAAGAACAAUAAUUAUUAGAAAAUGAACAGUAGACAAGGGGUAAACGGGGGGAAGUGAGUAAAUAAAAAAUUUAAAAAGGAAAAAAGGGGACAUAAAAAAGAAAAAAUCAAACAAAAUAAAAUAAGAGAAAAACUGGAAAAAAUCAAACAAAGAGGCUGCACCCGACACAAUGGCCAAUUGUCAUUAGGUGGUAUAUUAUAUUCGUUUUUUGUUGUUUUUUUUUUUGUUUUUUGUUUAUAAGCUUUAUUGUAUACAUAUUUGUACUAAAACGAAAAUUGAAAUUGAAGUCAAAGAAUUAAUGAAAUAGGUUGACAGGAACUAUGCAACGUCACACACAGAGAUCUGUGGUUUCACACUAGGGUCAUCGAUAUGCAAAUAAAAAGAAGACACCUAGUUGAGUUUUGUGUAGUUUCUUUAUUUUUUAUCAGAGUAUAUGACUAUGGUUCCUACAGAAUGUACCUCUGCAAAACAUGUCAAAAUCACAAGUUAAAAAAAUGCCUGCUGUACUGCGCUGGAAAGUCGCGCUAAACACGGUGCGGUGCGGCCACUAAAACGCAAAACGCAUGUUAGUGCCUGCAAGACUGCGUGGAUACUUCCCACAUUGCGCGUACGCUACGGCUAAGUUGGUGCGCGCUUCAAUCGUUGCGUUUCCUCUCUAUCCGUCCUGUGUUCUUAAUGCUCACGCGAGCAAGUAAUAUAAAAGCAUUUAAGGCAGGGCCGAUUUUUUUAAAUUUGCAACAUUUGUUUUCUUCGAUUUAAAUCCAGUAGAAAUAUCAAUUUUAGGUGAGGCAAACUGCCACCAAGAAUUGAUUGUUUUACAUACAUUUAAAUAGAAAAUCAGUGUUUCCAACUUUCAAUAAUCGCCACCAAUUUACGGAGCAUCUAUACUUAAAUUCAGACUGAUUGUUUCUGUGUAUUUUACAGCUUGACUCGUUUCAAACUCAUUGAUGAGCGCUAAAAUAAAAUUACCCGUAGUUCAUAUGCUUUUUGAAUUUACUCAAACUUUCCGUGCUUCAUUUUUACAUUAAAGGGAGUUUAAUACUGAUGACAGACUUUGGUUUUUGAUGAAAAUUUGGUCUGGAAUAUCUGGGCAUUACCCAAAAACCAUCAACCUUCUUCAUCAUGAUCGAAACCUAUAUAACCUACGUUCUACUAUAAAUCAUCAUCGCAAAAUUAAGUGACACUUUAGGUAAAGAGAUGGAAUAAUUUUAACCACCUAAGUAGCAAAAUAGAAUUUUUUCCUAGAAAAAAAAUUAAGAAAACUUCCAUAAAAUACCAAGAAAAUGAGAGUUAUCUAGAAAAUAGAAAGAAAAAACAUUGCGAGUCAAAAGUCUGACCAAAGGAAACAGAUCUAUUUCAUACGUAUACUUUCUGUCAACUUUUCAUUUGGAAAAAAGAUAGAAAAUUUAUUGAAAGUAGAAUUAUUUUCUAGCCAAUUUCUUAAUGUUUUCUUUUAAGAAAAUGCAAGAAAAAAUGAAUUUUCUAACUAUUUUCUAGAUCUACUUUAUACCUAUUACCUAUUUGCUUUCAAGAAAAUUGUUCUAUCUAGAAAGUAGACAUUUUCUUGAUGAGCGCCACCUAGAAUGUAGAUGACAAUGCUACG
rnacentral:lncRNA from 1 species